rnacentral:rRNA from 1 species
GCCGCGUGAGGGAUGAAGGCCUUUGGGUUGUAAACCUCUUUUCUCGGGAAGAAGUUCUGACGGUUCUUGAGGAAUCCACCUCGGCUAACUCCGUGCCAACCGCCGCGGU